UGGGAUGUGGCUCAGUGGCAGAGCACUGACCUAGCAUUCUCAGGGCCCUGGGUCCCAUCCCCAGCACCACAA
rnacentral:tRNA from 1 species